GAUCAUGGCUCAGGAUGAACGCUAGCUACAGGCUUAACACAUGCAAGUCGAGGGGCAGCAUGGUCUUAGCUUGCUAAGGCUGAUGGCGACCGGCGCACGGGUGAGUAACACGUAUCCAACCUGCCGUCUACUCUUGGCCAGCCUUCUGAAAGGAAGAUUAAUCCAGGAUGGGAUCAUGAGUUCNCAUGUCCGCAUGAUUAAAGGUAUUUUCCGGUAGACGAGUGGG
rnacentral:rRNA from 1 species